rnacentral:rRNA from 1 species
GACGUAGGGCGCGAGCGUUGUCCGGAUUUAUUGGGCGUAAAGAGCUCGUAGGCGGCUUGUCGCGUCGACCGUGAAAACUUGGGGCUCAACCCCAAGCCUGCGGUCGAUACGGGCAGGCUAGAGUUCGGUAGGGGAGACUGGAAUUCCUGGUGUAGCGGUGAAAUGCGCAGAUAUCAGGAGGAACACCGGUGGCGAAGGCGGCUUGCUGGGCCUUACCUGACGCUGAGGAGCGAAAGCGUGGGGAGCGAACAGG